rnacentral:tRNA from 1 species
GAGGGCACAGCUCAGUGGCAGAGCACAUGCUUAGCAUGCGUGAGGUCCUGGGUUCCAUCCCCAGUCCCUCCA